GACGAACGCUGGCGGCGUGCCUAAUACAUGCAAGUUGAGCGCUGAAGGUUGGUACUUGUCCCGACUGGAUGAGCAGCGAACGGGUGAGUAACGCGUGGGGAAUCUGCCUUUGAGCGGGGGACAACAUUUGGAAACGAAUGCUAAUACCGCAUAAAAACUUUAAACACAAGUUUUAAGUUUGAAAGAUGCAAUUGCAUCACUCAAAGAUGAUCCCGCGUUGUAUUAGCUAGUUGGUGAGGUAAAGGCUCACCAAGGCGAUGAUACAUAGCCGACCUGAGAGGGUGAUCGGCCACAUUGGGACUGAGACACGCCCCAAACGCCUACGGGAGGCAGCAGGAGGGAAUCGUCGGCAAUGGACGAAAGUCUGACCGAGCAACGCCGCGUGAGUGAAGAAGGUUGUCGGAUCGUAAAACUCGGUUGGUAGAGAAGAACGUUGGUGAGAGUGGAAAGCUCAUCAAGUGACGGUAACUACCCAGAAAGGGACGGCUAACUACGUG
rnacentral:rRNA from 1 species